CCCGCAUCCUCCCUUCCCUGCCCACCCCACCUCGGUGGGGGGGGGGUCCCCCCGAUGCCAACAGCAAACUGCUGCCCACCUUCAUAAGGGGGAUUUCAGUGUUCUCUCACACCGCUCGGGGUCCUGCCUGCAGAAUGACUUUGGUCCCAUUAAACCUCUUCGUUAACGACGUGGGCGAUGGGGCGGAGCGCCCCCAGAAAGUCUGCGGGUGAUGCAAUGCGGGGAGAAGUGGAUGGUGGAUGGCUGAGCUCAUGCUGCCACCCAGAGGACUGUGGGCAUGAUGGAGAAAUGGGCUGCAGGAACCCCAUGGAGCUCAGCAAGGAGCAGUGCGCGGAGAUAUGGUGGGCAUAUUGGAUGAGAUGAGCUCCAGAGGUUCCCUACAACCCCAACCAUCCCAUGACCGUGUGGGGUUCUUUCCAAACCCAACCAUCCCAUGGUCCUAUAGUGUUCCUUCCAACCCCAACCAUCCCAUGUUCCUAUGCGAUUCCUUCCAACCCCAACCAUCCCAUUAUUAUGUGAGGUUCCUUCCAACCCUAACCAUCCCAUUACCCAGUGGGGUUCCACCCAAACCCAACCAUCCCAUUAUCAUGUGAGGUUCCUUCCAACCCCAACCAUCCCAUGGUCUUAUAGUGUUCCUUCCAACCCCAACCAUCCCAUGAUACUAUGGAGUUCCUUCCAACCCCAACCAUCCUCUGACCCUGUGAGAUUCCUUCCAACCCCAACCAUCCCAUGGUCCUAUGGAGUUCCUUCCAACCCCAACCAUCCCACAACCCUGUGGGGCUCCUUCCAACCCAACCAUCCCAUGGUCUAAUAGUGUUCCUUCCAACCCCAACAAGUCCGUGGUCCUAUGGUGUUUCUUCCAACCCCAACCAUCCCAUGGUCUUGUGGGGCUCUCUCCAAUCCCAACCAUCCCAUGAUCCUACAAAGUUCCUUCCAACCCCAACCAUUCCAUGACCCUGUGGGGUUCCUUCCAACCCCAACCAUCCCAUGUUCCUGUGAGGUUCCACCCAACCAUAACCAUCCCAUUAUCAUGUGAGGUUCCUUCCAACCCCAACCAUCCUAUUAUCAUGUGAGAUUCCUCCAACCCCAACCAUCCCAUGGUCUUGUGGGGUUCUUUCCAAACCCAACCAUCCCAUGGUCCUAUAGUGUUCCUUCCAACCCCAACCAUCCCAUUAUCAUGUGAGGUUCCUUCCAACCCCAACCAUCCCAUGCUCCUGUGGGGUUCCACCUACCCCAACCAUCCCAUUAUCAUGUAAGAUUCUUUCCAACCCCAACCAUCCCAUGGUCUUGUGGGGUUCUUUCCAAACCCAACCAUCCCAUGGUCCUAUAGUGUUCCUUCCAACCCCAACCAUCCCAUUAUCAUGUGAGGUUCCUUCCAACCCCAACCAUCCCAUGUUCCUAUGCGAUUCCUUCCAACCCCAACCAUCCCAUUAUUAUGUGAGGUUCCUUCCAACCCUAACCAUCCCAUUACCCAGUGGGGUUCCACCCAAACCCAACCAUCCCAUUAUCAUGUGAGGUUCCUUCCAACCCCAACCAUCCCAUGGUCUUGUGGGGCUCUUUCCAACCCCAACCAUCCCAUGAUCCUAUAGUGUUUCUUCCAAUCCCAACCAUUCCAUGGUCCUGUGGGGCUCCUUCCAACCCCAACCAUCCCAUAUCCCUAUAGUGUUCCUUCCAACCCCAACCAUCCCAUGGCCCUAUGAAAUUCCUUCCAACCCCAACCAUCCCAUUAUCCUGUGAAGUUCCUUCCAACCCCAACCAUCCCAUGAUCCUAUAGUGUUCCUUCCAACCCCAACCAUCCCAUGGUCCUGUGGGGCUCCUUCCAACCCCAACCAUCCCAUGGCCCUAUGGUGUUCCUUCCAACCCCAACCAUCCCAUGGUCCUAUGAAGUUCCUACCAACCUCAACCAUCCCAUGGUCCUAUGGAGUUCCUUCCAACCCCAACCAUCCCACAACCCUGUGGGGCUCCUUCCAACCCAACCAUCCCAUGGUCUAAUAGUGUUCCUUCCAACCCCAACAAGUCCGUGGUCCUAUGGUGUUUCUUCCAACCCCAACCAUCCCAUGGUCUUGUGGGGCACUUUCCAAUCCCAACCAUCCCAUGAUCCUACGAAGUUCCUCUCAACCUCAACCAUUCCAUGACCCUGUGGGGUUCCACCCAACCCCAACCAUCCCAUUAUCAUGUGGGGUUCCACCCAACCCCCACCAUCCCAUUAUCAUGUGAGGUUCCUUCCAACCACAACCAUCCUAUUAUCAUGUGAGAUUCCUUCCAACCCCAACCACCCCAUGAUCCUAUGAAGUUCCUUCCAACCCCAACCAUCCCAUAUCCCUAUAGUGUUUCUUCCAAUCCCAAGCAUUCCAUGGUCCUGUGAGAUUCCUUCCAACCCCAACCAUCCCAUGAUCCUGAGAGGUUCCUUCCAACCCCAACCAUCCCAUGGCCCUAUGAAAUUCCUUCCAACCCCAACCAUCCCACGAUCCUGUGAGGUUCCUUCCAACCCCAACCAUCCCAUGGUCCUAUAGUGUUCCUUCCAACCCCAACCAUCCCAUGGUCCUAUGGUGUUCCUUCCAACCCCAACCAUCCCAUGGUCUUAUAGUGUUCCUUCCAACCCCAACCAUCCCAUGAUACUAUGGAGUUCCUUCCAACCCCAACCAUCCUCUGACCCUGUGAGAUUCCUUCCAACCCCAACCAUCCCAUGGUCCUAUGGAGUUCCUUCCAACCCCAACCAUCCCACAACCCUGUGGGGUUCCUUCCAACCCAACCAUCCCAUGGUCUAAUAGUGUUCCUUCCAACCCCAACAAGUCCGUGGUCCUAUGGUGUUUCUUCCAACCCCAACCAUCCCAUGGUCUUGUGGGGCUCUUUCCAAUCCCAACCAUCCCAUGAUCCUACAAAGUUCCUUCCAACCCCAACCAUUCCAUGACCCUGUGGGGUUCCUUCCAACCCCAACCAUUCCAAGGUCCUAUGAAGUUCCUUCCAACCCCAACCAUCCCAUGGUCCUAUGAAGUUCCUUCCAACCCCAACCAUCCCAUUAUCAUGUGAGGUUCCUUCCAACCCCAACCAUCCCAUUACCCAGUGGGGUUCCACCCAACCCCAACCAUCCCAUGGUCCUGUGGGGUUCCACCGCCCCAACCAUCCCUUUAUCAUGAGAAGUUCCUUCCAACCCCAACCAUCCCAUGACCCUGUGGGGCUCUUUCCAACCCCAACCAUCCCGUGGUCCUAUGGAGUUCCUUCCAACCCCAACCAUCCCACAACCCUGUGGGGCUCCUUCCAACCCAACCAUCCCAUGGUCUAAUAGUGUUCCUUCCAACCCCAACAAGUCUGUGGUCCUAUGGUGUUCCUUCCAACCCCAACCAUCCCAUGGUCUUGUGGGGCUCUUUCCAAUCCCAACCAUCCCAUGAUCCUACAAAGUUCCUUCCAACCCCAACCAUUCCAUGACCCUGUGGGGUUCCACCCAACCCCCACCAUCCCAUUAUCAUGUGAGGUUCCUUCCAACCCCAACCAUCCUAUUAUCAUGUGAGAUUCCUUCCAACCCCAACCAUCCCAUGGUCUUGUGGGGCUCUUUCCAACCCCAACCAUCCCAUGAUCCUAUAGUGUUUCUUCCAAUCCCAACCAUUCCAUGGUCCUGUGGGGUUCCUUCCAACCCCAACCAUCCCAUGAUCCUGAGAGGUUCAUUCCAACCCCAACCAUCCCAUGGCCCUAUGAAAUUCCUUCCAACCCCAACCAUCCCAUUAUCCUGUGAAGUUCCUUCCAACCCCAACCAUCCCAUAUCCCUAUAGUGUUCCUUCCAACCCCAACCAUCCCAUGAUCCUAUAGUGUUCCUUCCAACCCCAACCAUCCCAUGGUCCUGUGGGGCUCCUUCCAACCCCAACCAUCCCAUGGCCCUAUGGUGUUCCUUCCAACCCCAACCAUCCCAUGGUCCUAUGAAGUUCCUACCAACCUCAACCAUCCCAUGGUCCUAUGGAGUUCCUUCCAACCCCAACCAUCCCACGACCCUGUGGGGCUCCUUCCAACCCAACCAUCCCAUGGUCUAAUAGUGUUCCUUCCAACCCCAACAAGUCCGUGGUCCUAAGGUGUUUCUUCCAACCCCAACCAUCCCAUGGUCUUGUUAGGCUCUUUCCAACCCCAACCAUCCCAUGAUCCUAUGAAGUUCCUCUCAACCUCAACCCCCCCCUGACCCCGUGGGGUUCCACCCAACCCCAACCAUCCCAUUAUCAUGUGGGGUUCCACCCAACCCCCACCAUCCCAUUAUCAUGUGAGGUUCCUUCCAACCCCAACCACCCCAGGAUCCUAUGAAGUUCCUUCCAACCCCAACCAACCCAUGAUCCUAUGAAGUUCCUUCCAACCCCAACCAUCCCAUUAUCAUGUGAGGUUCCUUCCAACCCUAACCAUCCCAUUACCCAGUGGGGUUCCACCCAAACCCAACCAUCCCAUUAUCAUGUGAGGUUCCUUCCAACCCCAACCAUCCCAUGGUCUUAUAGUGUUCCUUCCAACCCCAACCAUCCCAUGAUCCUGUGGGGUUCCACCCAACACCAACCAUCCCAUGGUUCCUUCCAACGCCAAACAUUCCAUGAUCCUAUGAAGUUCCUUCCAACCCCAACUAUCCCACGACCCAGUGAGGUUCCUUCCAACCAUCCCAUGACCCCAUGCAAUUCCUUCCAACCCCAACCAUCCCAUGAUCCUAUGAAGUUCCUUCCAACCCCAACCAUCCCAUGGUCCUGUGGGGCUCCUUCCAACCCCAACCAUCCCAUGGUCCUGUGAGGUUCCUUCCAACCCCAAGUAUCCAACAACCCUGUGGGGUUCCUUCCAACCCCAACCAUCCCACAACCCCGUGAGGUUCCUUCCAACCAUCCCAUGGUCCUAUGGUGUUUCUUCCAACCCCAACCAUCCCAUUAUCAUGUGAGAUUCCUUCCAACCCCAACCAUCCCAUGGUCUUGUGGGGCACUUUCCAAUCCCAACCAUCCCAUGAUCCUACGAAGUUCCUCUCAACCUCAACCAUUCCAUGACCCUGUGGGGUUCCACCCAACCCCAACCAUCCCAUUAUCAUGUGGGGUUCCACCCAACCCCCACCAUCCCAUUAUCAUGUGAGGUUCCUUCCAACCCCAACCACCCCAUGAUCCUAUGAAGUUCCUUCCAACCCCAACCAUCCCAUAUCCCUAUAGUGUUUCUUCCAAUCCCAACCAUUCCAUGGUCCUGUGAGAUUCCUUCCAACCCCAACCAUCCCACGAUCCUGUGAGGUUCCUUCCAACCCCAACCAUUCCAAGGUCCUAUGAAGUUCCUUCCAACCCCAACCAUCCCAUGGUCCUAUGAAGUUCCUUCCAACCCCAACCAUCCCAUGGUCUUGUGGGGCUCUUUCCAAUCCCAACCAUCCCAUGAUCCUACGAAGUUCCUUCCAACCCCAACCAUCCCAUUACCCAGUGGGGUUCCACCCAACCCCAACCAUCCCAUUAUCAUGUGAGAUUCCUUCCAACCCCAACCAUCCCAUGACCCUGUGGGGCUCUUUCCAACCCCAACCAUCCCGUGGUCCUAUGGAGUUCCUUCCAACCCCAACCAUCCCACAACCCUGUGGGGCUCCUUCCAACCCAACCAUCCCAUGGUCUAAUAGUGUUCCUUCCAACCCCAACAAGUCCGUGGUCCUAUGGUGUUUCUUCCAACCCCAACCAUCCCAUGGUCUUGUGGGGCUCUUUCCAACCCCAACCAUCCCAUGAUCUUGUGAGGUUCCUUCCAACCCCAACCAUUCCAUGGUCCUAUAGUGUUCCUUCCAACCCCAACCAUCUCCUGACCCUUUGGGGUUCCUUCCAACCCCAACCAUCCCAUGAUCCUAUGAAGUUCCUUCCAAUCCCAACUAUCCCACGACCCCAUGCAAUUCCUUCCAACCCCAACCACCCCAUGACCCCGUGAGGUUCCUUCCAACCAUCCCAUGACCCCAUGCAAUUCCUUCCAACCCCAACCAUCCCAUGGUCCUAUGGUGUUUCUUCUAACCCCAACCAUCCCAUGAUCCUGUGAGAUUCCUUCCAACCCCAACCAUUCCAUGGUCUUGUGGGGCUCUUUCCAACCCCAAACAAUCCCAUGACCCUGUGAGGUUCCUUCCAACCCCAACUAUCCAACAACCGUGUGGGGUUCCUUCCAACCCCAACCAUCCCACCACCCCGUGAGGUUCCUUCCAACCAUCCCAUGGUCCUAUGGUGUUCCUUCCAACCCCAACCAUCCCAUUAUCAUGUGAGGUUCAUUCCAAACCCAACCAUCCCAUGGCCUUGUGGGGCUCUUUCCAACCCCAACCAUCCCAUGAUUCUAUGAAGUUCCUUCCAACCCCAACCAUCCCAUGGUCCUAUGCGAUUCUUUCCAACCCCAACCAUCCCAUGAUCCUGAGAGGUUCCUUCCAACCCCAACCAUCCCAUGGUCCUAUGGUAUUCCUUCCAACCCCAACCAUUCCACAACCCUGUGGGGCUCCUUCCAACCCCAACCAUCCCAUGGUCCUGUGAGGUACCUUCCAACCCCAACCAUCCCACGACCCUGUGGGGCUCUUUCCAACCCCAACCAUCCCAUGAUCCUCUGAAGUUCCUUCCAACCUCAACCAUCCCCUGACCCUGUGAGAUUCCUUCCAACCCCAACCAUCCCGUGGUCCUAUGGUUUUCCUUCCCACCCCAACCAUUCCAUGGUCCUGUGAGGUUCCUUCCAACCAUCGCCUGACCCUGUCCGAUUCCUUCCAACCCCAACCAUCCCAUGAUCCCACGAGUCACCACCAGAUGGCUGCUGACCCACAGCGUUUCCCACAGCAUCCACU
ensembl:lncRNA